rnacentral:sRNA from 1 species
UUUUCCUAUCACUGCAUAUGAUAUCCCACCCCAUGUGUUUUGUCGUGUUCUUGAUGUCAAGCUCCAUGCAGAGGAAGGGAGCGAUGAAGUAUAUUGCCAAGUGUUGUUGGUUCCUGAAAGUGAGGUGAGGUUUCUUUAUGAUGUUGAUUUUACUUAGGUGUAGUUUGGAUCUGGGAAGCUUGCAGAAAGAAAGGCAUCUCAAGCUGUCCUAGUCUUUCGGAUGAGAUGAAAUAUGACUAAGCAAGCUAGUUAUGAUGAUUUUGUUUGAUUGAGC